UUUUCUUAUUUUAAUAAGAAUUUUUUUUUUGCAUAGAAAAGGUUAAGAAAAG
rnacentral:tRNA from 1 species